UACGUAGGGAGCAAGCGUUGUCCGGAAUCAUUGGGCGUAAAGCGCGCGUAGGCGGCCCUGUAAGUCCGUUGUGAAAGUCAAAGGCUCAACCUUUGAAAGCCGAUGGAUACUGCAGGGCUAGAGUCCGGAAGAGGCGUGUGGAAUUCCUGGUGUAGCGGUGGAAUGCGCAGAUAUCAGGAGGAACACCAAUAGCGAAGGCAGCUCGCUGGGACGGUACUGACGCUAAGGCGCGAAAGCGUGGGGAGCGAACAGG
rnacentral:rRNA from 1 species